GAUGAAGAACGUAGCGAAAUGCGAUAAGUAAUGUGAAUUGCAGAAUUCCGUGAAUCAUCGAAUCUUUGAACGCACAUUGCGCCCCCUGGUAUUCCGGGGGGCAUGCCUGUCCGAGCGUCAUUGCUGCCCUCAAGCACGGCUUGUGUGUUGGGCCCCGUCCUCCGAUCCCGGGGGACGGGCCCGAAAGGCAGCGGCGGCACCGCGUCCGGUCCUCGAGCGUAUGGGGCUUUGUCACCCGCUCUGUAGGCCCGGCCGGCGCUUGCCGAUCAACCCAAAUUUUUUAUCCAGGUUGACCUCGGAUCAGGUAGGGAUACCCGCUGAACUUAAGCAUAUCAAUAAGCGGAGGA
rnacentral:misc_RNA from 1 species